GGAACUCAGUUGGUUAGUGUGUGGUGCUAAGAACUCCAAGGUUGCAGGUUCGAUCCCUGUAAGGGACA